rnacentral:lncRNA from 1 species
GGGAGAUGGAGCCCAGGGAGAUGGAGCCCAGGGGAGAUGGAGCCCCGGGAGAUGGAGCUCUGGGAGAAGGAGCCCCGGGAGAUGGAACCCAGCAGAGAUGGAGCCCCGAAGAAGGAGCCCCGAAGAUGCAGCCCCCGAAGCAGCAGCCCUGCGGCAGGCUGGGGCCCGUAGCACUGGCAGGAGCCGCUUGGUGUCACUCGCCCACCGGGAGAGCCGCGGGAGCCAAGGGAGCCGGGCCCGCUGGGCGGCCGUGGCCAGCAGCGCCGGGGGAACGGGCACGGCUCCUCCGCAAGGAUUCACACGGUUCCGAGCCGUUCCGUGCUGGGAACGGGCACGGCUCCUCCGCAAGGAUUCACACCGCUCCGAGCCGUUCCGUGCUGGGAACGGGCACGGCUCCUCCGCAAGGAUUCACACCGUUCCGAGCCGUUCCGUGCUGGGAACGGGUGCUGUGCCAGUUCACACCGUUCCGAGCCGUUCCGCGCUGGGAACGGGUGCUGUGCCAGUUCACACCGCUCCGAGCCGUUCCGUGCUGGGAACGGGUGCUGUUCCACCGGCACACUAUUGCAGUCUGAAGUGCUUCUGCAGGGAAAGUUGGCCCUGGCAUAGUCUGGCUUGGGUUGAAGGUCUGCUUUCAUUUCCAGUCCUGCCUUGCAAUGGAAAAAGGCAGAUACAGCAUCCCUGAGUCUGGAGUCGCCUUCACCUGCGCUUCCCAGGGCUGCAGAACGUAGCAUGGCUGACCAAACAGGUGAGAGUUGUUGUUACAGACCAGUGCAGCAGAUAAGUGCUGUUCCCCAAGCUACAGAGGACCAAAUGAGACACUGAAAGAUGAAGAAGAUCUCAGAGUAACUCAGUAGUAACAGUAAGACCACGUUGGGCUGCUCUGCCACCGGAGCUCUUUAUGAACACACAGUCAGUAAUUCCCAGGUGCUGCACAGCUCCAUGGGAUGCCAGCACAGCUCCAUGGGAUGCCAGCACAGCUCCAUGGGAUGCCAGCACAGCUCCAUGGGAUGCCAGCACAGCUCCGUGUGCUGCUCCACAGUUCAGCUCUUAGGGAGGCAGUGGAAGGUCUGGGACCUUCUUACCACAGGUGGCCUUGUUCCUCGGCAGGAGGAAGCUCAAGUGCAGCUGUCCCAGCACUUUCCUCUGGAGCUCAGUUCUGGGCAGCACUUACCUCUGCCCACACCUUGACACAACCCACUCCAGAUGCAAAUUUAGAAUACAUGCUUGGACAUAUAACCUGCAAUAUUGGAAUACUGCAUUUAACCCUCGGCCUGUCUGUGGAAGGGGAGUAGCCCUAUGAAGCCUUUGGUCUGCUGAUCUGGGUUUGUGUUCCUGGUGGUUAUUUUGCUGGAGAUAAUGCUUGCAAAACAGCAAAUAUAACAUGCCUAUCUCUCCUAACUUCUGGCUGAACUAAUGGAUGUACCCUAAUUAUUGAAGAGUUAAUUGCAUAAGUCAUGUGUUGUAGGGUUUUGUCCUCACAUAUAUAUGGUGUGUUAGAUAAAAAGACUAUUUUUGAGGAUUAGCUGUCUACCAAACAUCUUCAAAAUCAUCUAAGUGUUCAUAACUGAAUUAUUUUCUUGAAUAAGAUAAAUUGUUUAUUUGCAUAUAUUUGGGAUUUCACAAACAAGUUAAUUUGGGGGCUAUUGCUGCAUAAUUUUGUGAAGAAAAAUCUGACAAAGAGCAUUUCCAGAGGUGAUUUUUACAUCAGUUGUUUCAGCAGAAGUG